rnacentral:rRNA from 1 species
GACGAACGCUGGCGGCGCGCCUAACACAUGCAAGUCGAACGGAGUUAUUUCAGCAGAAGCUUUCGGGUGGACGCAGGGAUAACUUAGUGGCGAACGGGUGAGUAACACGUGAGGAACCUGCCCUGGAGUGGGGGAUAACAGUUGGAAACGACUGCUAAUACCGCAUAAGCCCACAGCACCGCAUGGUGCAGCGGGAAAAGGAGCAAUUCGCUUCAGGAUGGCCUCGCGUCCAAUUAGGUAGAUGGUGAGGUAACGGCCCACCAUGCCGACGAUUGGUAGCCGGACUGAGAGGUUGAACGGCCACAUUGGGACUGAGACACGGCCCAG